UACGAGGGGGGCAAGCGUUGUUCGGAAUUAUUGGGCGUAAAGGGUGCGUAGGCGGUUUGGUAAGUCUGAUGUGAAAUCUAUGGGCUCAACUCAUAGUCUGCAUCGGAAACUGCCGGGCUUGAGUAUGGGAGAGGUGAGUGGAAUUCCUGGUGUAGCGGUGAAAUGCGUAGAUAUCAGGAGGAACACCUGUGGCGAAAGCGGCUCACUGGACCAUAACUGACGCUGAUGCACGAAAGCUAGGGGAGCAAACAGG
rnacentral:rRNA from 1 species